UACGUAGGGGGCAAGCGUUGUCCGGAAUCAUUGGGCGUAAAGAGCGUGUAGGCGGUCCGGUAAGUCGGUUGUGAAAGUCCAGGGCUCAACCCUGGGAUGCCGACCGAUACUGUCGGACUAGAGUUCGGAAGAGGCGAGUGGAAUUCCCGGUGUAGCGGUGAAAUGCGCAGAUAUCGGGAGGAACACCGAUGGCGAAGGCAGCUCGCUGGGACGUUACUGACGCUGAGACGCGAAAGCGUGGGGAGCAAACAGG
rnacentral:rRNA from 1 species